rnacentral:rRNA from 1 species
UACAGGGGGUGCAAACGUUGCUCGGAAUUAUUGGGCGUAAAGCGCGCGUAGGCGGCUACCUAAGUCGGAUGUGAAAGCCCCUGGCUUAACUGGGGAAGUGCACCCGAAACUGCAGAGCUUGAGUGCCGGAGAGGGUGGCGGAAUUCCCCAAGUAGAGGUGAAAUUCGUAGAUAUGGGGAGGAACACCGGUGGCGAAGGCGGCCACCUGGACGGUAACUGACGCUGAGACGCGAAAGCGUGGGGAGCAAACAGG